UGCAUAUGCCUUGCAUGCAAAUUUAAAUAUGAGGGAUUCAAGGGCUAGGUAGCAUGCUUCUACUUGACUGAAUUUAAGUAGGAGAGAUUAUCAAUUGCGUGCCGCGUCUUGUUGUACUUUCUGGGUUGUUUGAUUUCCUUUGGUGGUUUUUCAAAAUAAUCUUGAUUUAACCAUGAUUUGCUCUGGUGGUUUUUUGAAAUAGUCUUCGUUUCGCAAAGACAUCAUGGUGAUCGCGCCUGGAAUACUCAAUGUCUUCGCUUGUGGUUUGUGUUCUUCAGGUCUUCACUUGCCAUGAUAUAUCUCUGAUUUCUUCUUCUCUGUUCUAAUUAGAGUCUGUUCUGUUUGCACCAAUUCGAGAUAAUGGUCGUGGAAUGCAGCAGCCAAGACAACAAGAUCUAGCUCGACUUAGGACUGAUGACAAAUAAAAUUUGAUUCAGAUGGUUCCUUGCAUCUUCCUCUCAUAAUUAAACCUAAUAAUACAAUUUUUUGUGCUCUUGCUUCUGCAGAUUCUAAAGAAUUGAUUUGUUGUUCGGGCAUUUCGUGCAUUUGGAGUUCACAGAUAAUACCGACAAUUUCUCAAACGAGUCAGCAUUAUCAUUCAGUCAGUAGGUUACUAAAUAAAGCCGGAGUUCGCAUGGAGCACCAACGAUAACCUCAAGCAGAUGCAUCGAGACAGGCAAAUCAGAGUUUAUGGCACCCGAACUCUUCACUGGCAAUUUUAACGAGUUGGUGGACAUAUAUUCGUUUUGGAUGUGCAUGCCUGAAAUGAAAAGAAAAUGAUGGAAAAGUCUUGGACCUUGCUUAAUGCUUGGAACUACACCUUUCCAAACAUCCUUGUUGCUUGAUGCCAAGAGGAUUUCUCCAAGAGAUUGGAACUAUGUUCCUCUGCAGUUCUCCAUUCAGACAUUUCUAUGGUUAGAGCUUUCUUCUGACAAAAUUGUGCUGGUGUCUGGUUGUAAAACGUAUUUCCUAUUACAGCUGAGAAAGAGAGUAAGUAAAAAGGGUAAGCCAAGGGCUAGCCUAAAAUUCCAAAAGGACUAUUUCCUGAGGUAUUUGUCGCCGGCCAACCUGUCAUCAACCCAGGGUUGGUCGCUUGAACGACAUUCACUUCGAGGGAGUUUUGAUUAAAAGUUUGUGACUUGUCAUGCAUGGAACAUGCAUCUUUUGUUAACAUUUUCAUUGCAUUAUAUAUUAUAUAAAAGUGACAAAGUAGUGUUCUGGUCAUUGCUUUAGUAAAACAAAUAUACGUAGUAUAUGGUUAUGAAGUUGAAUGAAUGCUCAAUGGUCGGUUCAAGACUUCAAGAAAUUCAUAAUUUGUUCUGUGUGUUUUGAUUAAAAUGUGACCUAGCUCAGUUGCCAGACUGUGGAUAGAGGGAUGCAUGGCCACCACUUUGCCGGAAUACCAACAGUUAGCCAUUUUUUGGGUAUAGCUAUCAACUAGAAUCCAUUUUUUGGGUAUAGCUAUCAACUAGAAUCCACAGCUUCACAUUUCUCUUUGUUCAAAUGUUCUCUAAAUACAUGUAACUUAUAUGGCACAAUUUCGAUGCCACUUGUAAGUUGUAACUUCACAUGAUUUGGUGAUUUGUCAAAGAACGGCGGUGUCGGAGAAGACGAGGGGGAGGGGGCACUGAGCCAACAAAGGAGGCGGCUAUGGUAGGGCGAGCCGAUGAGGUGUAACACGUUAGCACUACUACGGGAGGGGAUCAAGGCAGAGAGUUGAGUGGUUGGUAG